CCAGCACCCCGAGUGGUCGGGACGAUUAUUGGGCCUAAAGCAUCCGUAGCCGGUUUUACAAGUCCUCCGUUAAAUCCAACUGCUUAACAGAUGGGCCGCGGAGGAUACUAUAAGACUAGGAGGCAGGAGAGGCAAGCGGUACUCAGUGGGUAGGGGUAAAAUCCGUUGAUCCAUUGAAGACCACCAGUGGCGAAGGCGGCUUGCCAGAAUGCGCUCGACGGUGAGGGAUGAAAGCUGGGGGAGCAAACCGGAUUAGAUACCCGGGUAGUCCCAGCUGUAAACGAUGCAGACUCGGUGAUGGACUAGCUUUAUGCUAGUCCAGUGCCGCAGGGAAGCCGUUAAGUCUGCCGCCUGGGUAGUACGAUCGCAAGACUG
rnacentral:rRNA from 1 species